UACGGAGGGUGCAAGCGUUAUCCGGAUUUACUGGGUUUAAAGGGUGUGUAGGCGGGCUGUUAAGUCAGUGGUGAAAUCUCCGGGCUCAACCCGGAAACUGCCAUUGAUACUAUCAGUCUUGAAUAUUGUUGAGGUAGGCGGAAUAAGUCAUGUAGCGGUGAAAUGCAUAGAUAUGACUUAGAACACCGAUUGCGAAGGCAGCUUACUAAGCAAUGAUUGACGCUGAGGCACGAAAGCGUGGGGAUCAAACAGG
rnacentral:rRNA from 1 species